rnacentral:rRNA from 1 species
UACGAAGGGAGCUAGCGUUGUUCGGAAUCACUGGGCGUAAAGCGCACGUAGGCGGAUUUGCCAGUCAGGGGUGAAAUCCCGGGGCUCAACCUCGGAACUGCCUUUGAUACAGCAAAUCUCGAGUCCGGAAGAGGUGAGUGGAAUUCCUAGUGUAGAGGUGAAAUUCGUAGAUAUUAGGAAGAACACCAGUGGCGAAGGCGGCUCACUGGUCCGGUACUGACGCUGAGGUGCGAAAGCGUGGGGAGCAAACAGG